rnacentral:rRNA from 1 species
GACGAACGCUGGCGGCGUGCUUAACACAUGCAAGUCGAACGGAAAGGCCCUGCUUUUGUGGGGUGCUCGAGUGGCGAACGGGUGAGUAACACGUGAGUAACCUGCCCUUGACUUUGGGAUAACUUCAGGAAACUGGGGCUAAUACCGGAUAGGAGCUCCUGCUGCAUGGUGGGGGUUGGAAAGUUUCGGCGGUUGGGGAUGGACUCGCGGCUUAUCAGCUUGUUGGUGGGGUAGUGGCUUACCAAGGCUUUGACGGGUAGCCGGCCUGAGAGGGUGACCGGCCACAUUGGGACUGAGAUACGGCCCAGACUCCUACGGGAGGCAGCAGUGGGGAAUAUUGCACAAUGGGCGGAAGCCUGAUGCAGCAACGCCGCGUGCGGGAAGACGGCCUUCGGGUUGUAAACCGCUUUCGCCUGUGGCGAAGCGUGAGUGACGGUAAUGGGUAAAGAAGCACCGGCUAACUACGUG